AGGUGUCAUCAUCAUAUUUGUCUUAUAAAAGAAGUUUGAUGGUGGUGCAAUAGGAGCCCAGGAAAGCAGCUGGAGGAGUCAGAAAAGAGGAAGAGUGAUGCCAUAGGAAAAUAUUGGACUUGGAAUUUGAUGCAGGAGUGCUGGACCUGAAUUCUGUCUCUGACCCAUCUCAGCUAUGGACCAGAAGAUAAUGGAGACAUCUCUUCUGAUAGAGAAAUGUGCAAGCUGUGUUUUCAAUUCUAGAGCUUGACAAAUGGAAAGUGUGGACAGAGUGUUCUGAGAGAUUCAAACCACUCUUUGGCUCAUUGUUCAAUUGCAUAUGUGUCUAUAUGUUUAUUCACAAUUCAUCUCUGAGUGUUUUCAAAUAUUUUGUAAUGUUUAUGACAUCAUUUGGUUCUUCUAAGGUCUACAUAACUCUGAUGCUUCAGUCUUCAAAAACUGACCAAAGGAUUAAAUAAAGCCACCAUUUUAUUU